rnacentral:rRNA from 1 species
AGCGAACGCUGGCGGCAGGCCUACCACAUGCAAGUCGAACGGACCCUUCGGGGUUAGUGGCGGACGGGUGAGUAACACGUGGGAACGUGCCUUUAGGUUCGGAAUAGCUCCUGGAAACGGGUGGUAAUGCCGAAUGUGCCCUUCGGGGGAAAGAUUUAUCGCCUUUAGAGCGGCCCGCGUCUGAUUAGCUAGUUGGUGAGGUAAUGGCUCACCAAGGCGACGAUCAGUAGCUGGUCUGAGAGGAUGACCAGCCACAUUGGGACUGAGACACGGCCCAAACUCCUACGGGAGGCAGCAGUGGGGAAUCUUGCGCAAUGGGCGAAAGCUUGACGCAGCCAUGCCGCGUGGAUGAUGAAGGUCUUAGGAUUGUAAAAUCCUUUCACCGGUGAAGAUAAUGACUGUAGCCGGAGAAGAAGCCCCGGCUAACUUCGUGCCAGCCGCCGCCGUAAGAC